AUGGGCUUCUUGCUCCUCUGCUGCAUGGCCUUUUGCCUCUUGAGAACAGGCUCCAUGGAUGCUGACAUUACCCAGACCCCAAGGAAUGGGAUUAUAAAGACAGGAAAGAGCAUUUUACUGGAGUGUUCUAAGACUAAGGGUCAUAACUCUAUGUACUGGUAUCGACAAGACCCAGGACUGGGGCUACGGCUGAUCUGCUAUUCCUACAACAAUGAUAUUAAUGAAGGAGAGGUCUCCAGUGGGUACAGGGCCUCUCGAGAGGUGCUGGCAAAAUUCUCCCUGUUCAUGGGGACUGCCAUCCCCAACCAGACAGCUCUCUACUUCUGUGCCAGCAGUGAUUUGCACAGUGCUUGUUGGCCACCUGCUCUCCAUACAGAAACACAGACACAUUUGCUCAAAUGGGCACAGAAGGCUUCCUCCAUGUGGGACAUGGGGAUCCUUAGUGGUCUGAGGAGUUCUACGCUGUGUGAGUCUCAGUCUGAGCUUAGGGCCACAUAG